rnacentral:lncRNA from 1 species
UUUUUUUUUGUUUUCUAAAGAGUUGUAGUUUGUUAGGAAAGUUAGAGAUAGAGUUGGAUUUCGGCCUCCUUACUCAAGGUGGAUGAGAAUAUCUCUCCCUCCUCCUUUAUAUACCCCAUGAGCCCCCCUAAGGAGCCUUGGGUUUUGUUUAGUUAAAAGUUAGCCAUCGCUACUUCUUCGUGUAAUCGCGUGUGUCGGUUACACCACCUGUUUUAUCGCUUUUGGAACCCCAACUUGUCGUCUCGUUGAGACAUUGGUUUGAUAUAGUAUAUUCGCAAUUUCAGAUUGCAUCCGCUAUUUAUCUUGUUCUUGCUUGUUCUUCGAUUGCUUGCAGGAACAAAGACCUUCGUGGUUAGGUUGAUCGUGCCCCCGCGUGAUCAACAACCCUCUGG